UACUAGAGUAGCACUCGCAUAUCAAUAAGCGGAGGAAAAGAAACUAACAAGGAUUCCCCUAGUAACGGCGAGUGAAGCGGGAAGAGCUCAAAUUUGAAAUCUUAAAGGGUUUCCCUUUACGAAUUGUAGUUUAAAGAAGUGUUUUCUGUUGAGGUUUUGGUAAAAGUUCUUUGGAAUAGGACAUCAUAGAGGGUGAGAAUCCCGUAUUUGACCUUUACUUUCAACUUUGUGAUACACUUUCAAAGAGUCGGAUUGUUUGGGAAUGCAGUCCAAAAUGGGUGGUAAAUUUCAUCUAAAGCUAAAUAUUGGCGAGAGACCGAUAGCGAACAAGUACCGUGAGGGAAAGAUGAAAAGAACUUUGAAAAGAGAGUUAAACAGUACGUGAAAUUGUCAAAAGGGAAGCGUUUGACACCAGUGUUGUUUUUCUGAAAAUCAAUUAAAGAACUGUCUAUGCUAAGUUGUUUAGACUUUAUCAGCUAACUGUUUAGUUUUGAGCUUUUCUUUAAUGCACUUUUCAGUUAACAAGUCAACAUCAAUUUCUUUUGCUGUAAAAAAGCUUGAGGAAGGUGGCUUGAGAUUCGUCUUAAGUGUUUAUAGCCUCUUGCCUAUGCAGUCGGAGAGAUUGAGGUCUGCAGCGUAGAUCCUUCGGGGCUAAAUGCAUUUGUGCUAAGUUAUAGCAUUUUAUAGACAACUUGUUGACUAUGACUUGUCUUGUAGCUUACUCGCUUAUGUUAUUUUACCUACGCUUAGGAUGUUGAGCGCAUGUCUCUCUCU
rnacentral:rRNA from 1 species